rnacentral:rRNA from 1 species
UGGGGAAUUUUCCGCAAUGGGCGAAAGCCUGACGGAGCAACGCCGCGUGAGGGAUGAAGGCCUCUGGGCUGUAAACCUCUUUUCUCAAGGAAGAAGACCUGACGGUACUUGAGGAAUAAGCCACGGCUAAUUACGUGCCAGCAGCCGCGGUAAUACGUAGGGUGCGAGCGUUAAUCGGAAUUACUGGGCGUAAAGCGUGCGCAGGCGGUUAUAUAAGACAGAUGUGAAAUCCCCGGGCUCAACCUGGGACCUGCAUUUGUGACUGUAUAGCUAGAGUACGGUAGAGGGGGAUGGAAUUCCGCGUGUAGCAGUGAAAUGCGUAGAUAUGCGGAGGAACACCGAUGGCGAAGGCAAUCCCCUGGACCUGUACUGACGCUCAUGCACGAAAGCGUGGGGAGCAAACA